rnacentral:tRNA from 1 species
GGGCGAUUGGUUCAGCUGGUUAGAGCGCCUGCUUUACACGCAGGAGAUCGGGGGUUCGAUUCCCUCAUCGCCCACCA